CACGUAGGGCGCAAGCGUUGUCCGGAAUUAUUGGGCGUAAAGAGCUCGUAGGCGGUCUGUCACGUCGGCUGUGAAAACCUGGGGCUCAACUCCGGGCCUGCAGCCGAUACGGGCAGACUAGAGUUCGGCAGGGGAGACUGGAAUUCCUGGUGUAGCGGUGAAAUGCGCAGAUAUCAGGAGGAACACCGGUGGCGAAGGCGGGUCUCUGGGCCGAAACUGACGCUGAGGAGCGAAAGUGUGGGGAGCGAACAGG
rnacentral:rRNA from 1 species